AGUUCGUUAAACCCUCCCACCUAGAGGAAGGAGAAGUCGUAACAAGGUUUCCGUAGGUGAACCUGCGG
rnacentral:rRNA from 1 species